rnacentral:rRNA from 1 species
CAGUAGCCGCGGGAAUACGAAGGGUGCAAGCGUUACUCGGAAUUACUGGGCGUAAAGCGUGCGUAGGUGGUGGUUUAAGUCCGUCGUGAAAGCCCUGGGCUCAACCUGGGAAUUGCGAUGGAUACUGGGCGACUAGAGUGCGGUAGAGGAUAGUGGAAUUUCCGGUGUAGCAGUGAAAUGCGUAGAGAUCGGAAGGAACAUCUGUGGCGAAGGCGACUAUCUGGGCCAACACUGACACUGAGACACGAAAGCGUGGGGAGCAAACAGGAUUAGAUACCCCGGUAGUCCCUGUCUCUUAUAC